GAAGUAGCGAGAGUGAACAUCGUUUACCAUGGACUUCUAACUCCAAAGAGAAGCAACUGCGAAGAUGGGGUUUGAGGGCGAUUGUCUUACACCCAGCUGGUACGGUUUCUCCAUCACAGUGUAUUGACCUGAACCUCUCCUUGGAAAUAUGCGCCAACAUUCCCUUGAGAGAAUUGCUUCUGAAAGAGGCGGAUGCAAAGGUGAUGAUGAACUUAUGAUGCUGACCAGUGUGGAGCCCAGAAGCUUUCAGCAUGGACACCAGUCUCUGCUCUGGCCCUUCCUGACUCCGUGACCCUAGGCAGGACACUUGACCUCUCUGUACCACAGUUUGCUCUUCUGCAAAGAAUUGAUGUUGGACCCUGUUCCCUCUAGCCAAAACAAGAAGUGGAUUUUGGUCCUCAAAUUUCUUUCAUUAGACCUUUCUAUCAGUGGGCAAACCACAUACAUGUCAAGAAGAGUAAGAAAAAAUACUGCCUGUUAAGGAACAAUGCCUGAGCGCGCAGUUUUGUAUUUUGUGACUUUUUGGUUAUUGGUUGCUGUCUUUAAGAUUAAGAAGAUGUAAGUCUCCCGAGUGAUAACAAUUUUAUUUCCUGGGUUUAAUUUCUAGGUGCAAGAGGGGACAGAAAGACUCCACUUCUACUUCAGAGUCAAUACCAGUAUAAUCUAAGCACUAACAUACAAAGAAAGCCUCUUUGCCAACAUGCUCCCUGCAUGAGUUGACAUGGACUCGUGUCACAUGGUACGGUCAAUGAGGAUGACGGGGGUUAAAAUACUGUCUACGACACACACACCUGGGUGUUGAGGCACACACCCGGAAUCCCAGCAUUUGGGAGAUGGAAGCAGGAGAAUCACAAGUUCAAAGUCAUUAUCAGCUACACAGUGAGUUUUAGGCCAGUCUGGACUACGUGACCUGUCUCAGAACCACCACCACCCAGAAUAAAUAAAGAGGAAACAAGAAGUAAAUGAAGGAGAACACUGAGCUCACUGCUGUUUGCUGCUGCUGGGAGAGAGUUGCUUUGUAUUCAGUAAGGACAGAAGAAUGGUUCUCUGUGCACACUGGGUUCUGACCCGGCUUGCAUGUCAAAGUGUUUCCGUGCUGUGUUCUUGAUAGACAAGUGGCUGUGCUGACACUCAGGGCCACGGACAAAAUCUUUUUUUUUUUAAUGAUUUUUUUCUGGAUUCUUAUGGUUCUUUUGCUUGAGUUUGUCUAUCCCAAUUAUCCCUAUAAGCAAAAAUCCUACUAGAUCUGACUUUGGCUUUAGGAAUUGCAGUCCAGCUCACUUUAAUUUUAAAGAAAAAUUUAAGCUGAAAGAUGCAACAGUGCUUUGACUUAGGAAUCUGAAGAGUUAUUCCUAUUAAGCAUUCUUGCUAACCCAAGAGCUAAAUACUGACAUAUAUCACUUCUCUAAGCACUAGUGUAGUUACUCAAGCCCAUGAACACGUUCAGGUCUUUCAGCAGCUUAGCCUCAGACAGGGCCUUAUGCUGAAGACCUGUCAAUCAUUUGGUGACAUCGGAGGGUCAGCCUGGACUGUCCUGUCACACCCCCUUGCCAACCCACCUCCUUCCUACGGAGCCUCCUAAAGCCCAUGGGAGCAUCAGUACUGGAGAGAGGCUCAGCGGUAAUGUCAGACACCUACUCUCAGGAUGUCUCUGCCUGGAGACUUCUUACUACGCUGCAAUCAUCACUCAACUCCCAGGGGACACUUCUCCAGUGAUGAUCAGACCCUGGUGACAUUCCUCCAGUGAUGAUCAGACCCUGGUGACACUCCUUCAGUGAUGAUCAGACGCUGGUGACAUUCUUACAGUCAUGUCCAGACCCCGGUGACAUUCUUCCAGUGAUAUUCAGACCCUGGUGACAUUUCUCCAGUGAUGUUCAGACCCUGGUGACAUUCCUCCAGUGAUGUUCAGACCCCGGUGACAUUCUUCCAGUGAUAUUCAGACCCUGAUGACAUUCCCCAGUGAUAUUCAGACCCCAGUGACAUUCCUCCAGUGAUGUUCAGACCCUGGUGACACUUCUCCAGUGAUGUUCAGACCCUGGUGACAUUCGUCCAGUGAUGAUCAGACCCUGGUGACACUUCUCCAGUGAUGAUCAGACCCUGGUGACAUUCCUCCAGUGAUGUUCAGAUCCUGGUGACAUUCUUACAGUGAUGUUCAGACCCUGGUGACAUUCCUCCAGUGAUGUUCAGACCCUGGUGACAUUCGUCCAGUGAUGAUCAGACGCUGGUGACUUACAGUGAUGUUCAGACCCUGGUGACAUUCCCCAGUGAUGAUCAGACCUUGAUGGACUCAC